rnacentral:rRNA from 1 species
GGGAAUUUUGGACAAUGGGCGAAAGCCUGAUCCAGCAAUGCCGCGUGUGUGAAGAAGGCCUUCGGGUUGUAAAGCACUUUUGUCCGGAAAGAAAUCCUCUGGGUUAAUACCUCGGGGGGAUGACGGUACCGGGAGAAGAAGCUGCGGCUAACUACGUGCCAGCAGCCGCGGUAAUACGUAGGCAGCAAGCGUUGUUCGGAGUUACUGGGCGUAAAGAGUGCGUAGGCGGUUUUCUAAGUUCGGUGUGAAAUCUCCCGGCUUAACUGGGAGGGUGCGCCGAAGACUGGGAAGCUGGAGUGUGGGAAAGGCAGGCGGAAUUCCUGGUGUAGCGGUGAAAUGCGUAGAUAUCAGGAGGAACACCGGCGGUGUAGACGGCUUGCUAGACCAUAACUGACGCUGAGGCACGAAAGCGUGGGUAGCAAACA